rnacentral:lncRNA from 1 species
AGGGUUCUGCCCUCAUGACCUUUUCACCUUCCGGAGGUCCUGCCUCCUAGCCCCAUCACCUUGCGGGAAGGCUUCUGUGGCCUCAUCUACUUCAUUGUGACGAGGUCGAGGCUGUAAGGGGCCAAGUGGAUGAUUUAGCUCAACAGCUAAAUGAUGUUCUGGGAGAAAGGGACUGAGGCUGCCGUGGACAGUGGUCAUCUCGGGCUUCGAAGUCAAUGUGAAGUCAACGUCUAAUGGACCCGAGUUCAGCCAAGAACACACAUCCCCAUCGCCCUGUUCUUGCGACAUCCUGGGAAAGCGACCCCGGUGGCCGAGCCCAGUGUGCCUUCCUGGACCCAUCACUUGGCACCCUGCACAUGCUCCUGACGGCAACUCUACUAGGUAUUAUUCUUCACGUAUUUGCAAGAAUCCUAAAGAUUGCUGACUUGAGCUUCCAGGUAUCCUAAAGUCUGGUUCAAAUGUAGUAAGUCCCAACCGUACUCUGUGCAGCACCUGGGCACUGCUGUGUGGUGGAAUAUCCUGUCCUGUUCUGGUUAUUGAUCACUGAUCAUUACAUAAGGAGCUUCUACACAUGUGCACCAUUAAAGACCCACCACAUCAUUAUGCUCUUGGAUUCCACUGGCCAGGAAGUUGGCAAGGUGGGGAGGCUGGCUUAUCUCUGAUCCC